GAUGAACGCUGGCGGCGUGCCUAAUACAUGCAAGUCGAGCGAACAGACGAGGAGCUUGCUCCUCUGACGUUAGCGGCGGACGGGUGAGUAACACGUGGAUAACCUACCUAUAAGACUGGGAUAACUUCGGGAAACCGGCGCUAAUACCGGAUAAUAUAUUGCACCGCAUGGUUCAAUAGUGAAAGACGGCUUUGCUGUCACUUAUAGAUGGAUCCGCGCCGCAUUAGCUAGUUGGUAAGGUAACGGGUUACCAAGGCUACGAUGCGUAGCCGACCUGAGAGGGUGAUAGCCCACACUGGAACUGAGACACGCUCCAGAGUCCUACGGGAGGCAGCAGUAGGGAAUGUGCCGCAAUGGGCGAAAGCCUGACGGAGCAACGCCGCGUGAGUGAUGAAGGUCUUCCGAUCGUAAAACUCUGUUAUUAGGGAAGAACAAAUGUGUAAGUAACUAUGCACGUCUUGACGGUACCUAAUCAGAAAGCCACGGCUAACUACGUG
rnacentral:rRNA from 1 species